rnacentral:rRNA from 1 species
GGCUAACUCCGUGCCAGCAGCCGCGGUAAUACGGAGGGUGCGAGCGUUAAUCGGAAUUACUGGGCGUAAAGCGCAUGCAGGUGGUUUGUUUAAGUUCAGAUGUGAAAGACCCGGGGCGUCAACCUCGGAAUAGCAUUUGAAACUGGCAGACUAGAGUACUGUAGAGGGGGGUAGGAAUUUCAGGUGUAGCGGUGAAAUAGCGUAGAGAUCUGAAGGAAUACCGGUGGCGAAGGCGGCCCCCUCGGACAGAUACUGACACUCAGAUGCGAAAGCGUGGGGAGCAAACAGGAUUAGAUACCCCUGGUAG